rnacentral:rRNA from 1 species
UAGAUGCGAGAGUAGAGCAUAUCAAUAAGCGGAGGAAAAGAAACUAACUAGGAUUCCCUCAGUAACGGCGAGUGAAGCGGGAAGAGCUCAAAUUUGAAAUCUUCAAGGUUUUACCUUGACGAAUUGUAGUUUAAAGAAGUGCUUUCUGUUGGAAUUUUGGUAAAAGUUCUUUGGAAAAAGACAUCAAAGAGGGUGAGAAUCCCGUAUUUGACCAUUAUUUCCAGCUUUGUGAUACACUCUCAAAGAGUCGGAUUGUUUGGGAAUGCAGUCCAAAAUGGGUGGUAAAUUUCAUCUAAAGCUAAAUACUGGCGAGAGACCGAUAGCGAACAAGUACCGUGAGGGAAAGAUGAAAAGAACUUUGAAAAGAGAGUUAAACAGUACGUGAAAUUGUCAAAAGGGAAGCGUUUGACACCAGUGUUGUUUUUCCGAAAAUCAAUUACGAAUGUUUUGUUUUUGAGGAGUUAUGACUUCAUCGGCUUGCUCCUUUCUUUAUAUGAAACUUUCUUAAUGCACUUUUCGGUUAACAAGUCAACAUCAAUUUCUUUUGUUGUAAAAGGGUAUGAGGAAGGUGGCUUUCUUUUCGGAGAAAGUGUUUAUAGCCUUGUGCCUCUGCAAUCGGAGAGAUUGAGGUCUGCAGCGUAGACUCUUCGGGGUUAGAUACAGUUUGUGCUAAGCUAUAGCUUUUUAUAGACAACUUGUUGACUAUAGUUUAGUCUUGUAGCUUACUCGCUGAUGCUAUUUUACCUACCGCUUAGGAUGUUGACACACGCGCGUGCUCG